rnacentral:rRNA from 1 species
AGCCUGAAUCAGUGUGUGUGUUAGUGGAAGCGUCUGGAAAGGCGCGCGAUACAGGGUGACAGCCCCGUACACAAAAAUGCACAUGCUGUGAGCUCGAUGAGUAGGGCGGGACACGUGGUAUCCUGUCUGAAUAUGGGGGGACCAUCCUCCAAGGCUAAAUACUCCUGACUGACCGAUAGUGAACCAGUACCGUGAGGGAAAGGCGAAAAGAACCCCGGCGAGGGGAGUGAAAAAGAACCUGAAACCGUGUACGUACAAGCAGUGGGAGCACAGAGCAAUCUGUGUGACUGCGUACCUUUUGUAUAAUGGGUCAGCGACUUAUAUUCUGUAGCAAGGUUAACCGAAUAGGGGAGCCGAAGGGAAACCGAGUCUUAACUGGGCGUUAAGUUGCAGGGUAUAGACCCGAAACCCGGUGAUCUAGCCAUGGGCAGGUUGAAGGUUGGGUAACACUAACUGGAGGACCGAACCGACUAAUGUUGAAAAAUUAGCGGAUGACUUGUGGCUGGGGGUGAAAGGCCAAUCAAACCGGGAGAUAGCUGGUUCUCCCCGAAAGCUAUUUAGGUAGCGCCUCGUGAAUUCAUCUCCGGGGGUAGAGCACUGUUUCGGCAAGGGGGUCAUCCCGACUUACCAACCCGAUGCAAACUGCGAAUACCGGAGAAUGUUAUCACGGGAGACACACGGCGGGUGCUAACGUCCGUCGUGAAGAGGGAAACAACCCAGACCGCCAGCUAAGGUCCCAAAGUCAUGGUUAAGUGGGAAACGAUGUGGGAAGGCCCAGACAGCCAGGAUGUUGGCUUAGAAGCAGCCAUCAUUUAAAGAAAGCGUAAUAGCUCACUGGUCGAGUCGGCCUGCGCGGAAGAUGUAACGGGGCUAAACCAUGCACCGAAGCUGCGGCAGCGACACUAUGUGUUGUUGGGUAGGGGAGCGUUCUGUAAGCCGUUGAAGGUGUGCUGUGAGGCAUGCUGGAGGUAUCAGAAGUGCGAAUGCUGACAUAAGUAACGAUAAUGCGGGUGAAAAACCCGCACGCCGGAAGACCAAGGGUUCCUGUCCAACGUUAAUCGGGGCAGGGUGAGUCGACCCCUAAGGCGAGGCCGAAAGGCGUAGUCGAUGGGAAACAGGUUAAUAUUCCUGUACUUGGUGUUACUGCGAAGGGGGGACGGAGAAGGCUAUGUUAGCCGGGCGACGGUUGUCCCGGUUUAAGCAUGUAGGCUGGUUAUCCAGGCAAAUCCGGAUAAUCAAGGCUGAGGUGUGAUGACGAGGCACUACGGUGCUGAAGCAACAAAUGCCCUGCUUCCAGGAAAAGCCUCUAAGCAUCAGGUAACAUCAAAUCGUACCCCAAACCGACACAGGUGGUCAGGUAGAGAAUACCAAGGCGCUUGAGAGAACUCGGGUGAAGGAACUAGGCAAAAUGGUGCCGUAACUUCGGGAGAAGGCACGCUGAUAUGUAGGUGAAGUGAUUUACUCAUGGAGCUGAAAUCAGUCGAAGAUACCAGCUGGCUGCAACUGUUUAUUAAAAACACAGCACUGUGCAAACACGAAAGUGGACGUAUACGGUGUGACGCCUGCCCGGUGCCGGAAGGUUAAUUGAUGGGGUCAGCGCAAGCGAAGCUCUUGAUCGAAGCCCCGGUAAACGGCGGCCGUAACUAUAACGGUCCUAAGGUAGCGAAAUUCCUUGUCGGGUAAGUUCCGACCUGCACGAAUGGUGUAACCAUGGCCAUGCUGUCUCCACCCGAGACUCAGUGAAAUCGAAUUCGCCGUGAAGAUGCGGUGUACCCGCGGCUAGACGGAAAGACCCCGUGAACCUUUAC